CCUGUUUUGUUUUGGUUUCAGGUUGUUUCUUGGGUUUUUUUCUUGCUCAAACAUUCAUCUGAAUGAAUAUAGAGAAAUAACCAACUUUCAUCUGCCACUUCUUAUGGGAAGACAAUCUACUUUCGUUCUUUUGGGCAUUUAGAAAAUGUUCGUUGCUGUCAGCAACCCAAAAGAUGAGCUCCCUGCCCGAUAUGGGGCUUGAACUCAUGACCUCGAGAUCAAGAGUCAUAUGCUGUACUGACUGAGCCAACCAAGCACCCCUCACCUGUUCUCUUGAUAAAGACUUCUCUUGUAUUGACAAACCCGCUUUCUAAUGGUGAGUGAAUUUAUAUUCUUUGUAUUCUUAUAUGUUAUAAGGAUGUAUACUUCUUUUUAAGUUUAUUUUUAUUUAUUUUGAGAGAGAGCGAGUAAGCAGGGAAGGGGGCCUGGAAAGAGGGAGAGAGAGAGAAUCCCAAGCAGGCUCCACACUGUCAGUGCAGAGCCUGACGUGGCUCAAACUCAUGAACUGUGAGAUCAUGACCUGAGCCAAAGUCAAGAGUCAGACGCUUAACCGACUGAGCCACCCAGGUGCCCCUAAGAAUAUAUAUUCUUAUGCAAUAAAUAAUUAUUUUAAAAUGUUAAGUUAGCCCAAAAUAUGGAAUCCCAAAUAAUUACUUUCCAUUUCAUAAACCUAAGCAAGUAGGUCAUUAGCUGUCCUAUAUGUCUUUGUAUUAAAUAUUUGCCAUUUUACAAAUAACAAGUUUUCCACAAAACAUGUUCUGGGCAGAGCUUUAGAACACGGCCAUGGUUUAUCAAAACAUGAAAAGUGUGACUGAAUUCAGGGAGCCCAUCUGACUCAGAGAACAUAAUUUCUGUUCAGCCACUGGCAAAUGAGAACGUCAAACAUUGUGGCAAUUUUUAAAGCAAACCAAAGCGGACAGUGAAGAGCGUAUGGUAACUUCUCUUAAAGCUGAAGCCGGUCUCUUUGGGACACUAGGGUGUUGUAAAAAAGAAAGAAGAUGUAGUCAUCACUUCCCGUCUAAACACUAAGACAUAAUGGACACUAUUCCAAAAGCCGCUCCUUCUAGGGACUAAGUACCUUGGAGACCUCAGAAAGAACAGGCAGCAACAGGAGGAAUCCAAAUAGAAAGAAAAGAAAACUGAGACCCCAGCCCCCUCCUGCCACAGCCUGGUUUAUUAAGGGUUGUAAAAACCCCGAGGCCCAGGAAUUCUGGUGAGCCCCUCAAAUUCCCAAAGGCAGGCAGGAAGCUAGAAGUUUCCUUGUUUUGAGAGAAAGUUUUCUCCAAAUCCCAGUGGAAAACCAGUCCAGAGACCAGGAAGUGAAACUGAUGUGGAUGCUUUGUUUGUUGGGGCAAAUCGUCUGAAUUUCUGAAAUUAACCUGUGCCGCGAAAACAUCCUGCUGGAAGGCUGUGGGUUGAAUUCAAAUCUCAAGGUGUCAGGUCAGGGAUAGGCUAUGACACGGGGUAGUUGAUGAGCCCAAGGCCACCCCAGAAGAACUGGGCAAGGCCUAUAGGCCCUCCUGGGAAACAGCCACGGAGCUCCAGAAGACAGCCACGGAAGUGCUGUCCAGGAACUGAGAGCCUCAGCCUGGUAUCCUGUGCAAAUAACUACCUUAGACUUUUUACUAACCCCAAAAUAAAUUUAUUUCCAGAUUGUAGGGGGAAAUGGAGCAAACAUAAUGCUUUCUCUGAGAUCAAAGCCAAGGCAGGGAUACAAACCUUGCUCAUUUAGACUCUCGCCCAGGCGCAGACAGGAAUGCCAGAGAGCUCACAGCGGUCUCAUUUCCUGAGGGCUGAAACUCACAGGAGAUGGUGUCUUCAGAAGUUAUGUUUGUGAGACAUCACACUCCAGUAACUUCGUGACUGAUAUUCAAUUGUCCUGCCUAUGCCAGUGUUUGUUCAGGCCAACUCUGACGAAGAAUGAACGUGUGUUUAUAUUUAGAAAAUUUCUGCAUUUGAGUGUGUUUGCUCUUAAAUCACUUCAAGUGGCUUUCUUGAUUUUAGCAAACUAAAAUGAUUUAUACUAAAGCUAACCAUACACAUACCCUAUGACCCAGGGACUGCUCCUAGAUAUGUACUCAAUAGAAAUGCACACACAUAUGCACAAAAGGCAUAUUCAAAAGAAUUCAUAGCGGAAUUAUCCAUAAUAGCCAAAACCCUGGAAGCAAUCCAAACAUCCAUCGACAAUAGAAUGGAUAAGUAGUGAUAUACUCCUACAAUAGAAUACCCUAGAACAAUGAGUGACUCUUAGGUACACAAUCUUGAGUAAAAGAAACCAGACACAAAUAAGCACACACUGUAUGGUAAAUUUCAAAACUGGGCAAGAAAAAUCAGUGGUAUUAGAAGUCAGAAUAGUGGCUAUCCUUGGGGAAGGGAGUGAGUGUGUUAGCUAGGGGAACACAUAAAAGGAGCUUCUGGGGUGAUGAUAAUCUAUUUCUUAACCUGGCUUGUAUUUA